AAAUAUAAUUAAACAUUAUCUUUCAAAUAGCCAAAUAACAUAGUGCCAUAUUCAAACUUUAACCUUUAGCCUUUAUCCUUGUCCCUUUUUUUCUUCUUUUUUUCUUUCUUUUUACUAAAUAAUACUCUUGUCUCUUUCUUACAUAUACAUAUUUCUCUUUCCUAUACCACCUUUAUCAUGUUUUUAGUUAAUCCAUUAACCCUCAUUUCC
rnacentral:lncRNA from 1 species